UACGUAGGGUGCAAGCGUUAAUCGGAAUUACUGGGCGUAAAGCGUGCGCAGGCGGUUUUGUAAAGUCUGUCGUGAAAUCCCCCGGGCUUAACCUGGGAACUGCAUUUGUGACUGCAUGGCUGGAGUGCGGCAGAGGGGGAUGGAAUUCCGCGUGUAGCAGUGAAAUGCGUAGAUAUGCGGAGGAACACCGAUGGCGAAGGCAAUCCCCUGGGCCUGCACUGACGCUCAUGCACGAAAGCGU
rnacentral:rRNA from 1 species